rnacentral:rRNA from 1 species
AUUGAACGCUGGCGGCAUGCCUUACACAUGCAAGUCGAACGGCAGCACGGGUGCUUGCACCUGGUGGCGAGUGGCGAACGGGUGAGUAAUACAUCGGAACGUACCUUAUCGUGGGGGAUAACGCAGCGAAAGCUGCGCUAAUACCGCAUCCGCCCUGAGGGGGAAGGCGGGGGAUCGGAAGACCUCGCGCGAUUAGAGCGGCCGAUGCGUGAUUAGCUUGUUGGUGGGGUAAAAGCCCACCAAGGCGACGAUCAGUAGCUGGUCUGAGAGGACGAUCAGCCACACUGGGACUGAGACACGGCCCAGACUCCUACGGGAGGCAGCAGUGGGGAAUUUUGGACAAUGGGGGCAACCCUGAUCCAGCAAUGCCGCGUGAGUGAAGAAGGCCUUCGGGUUGUAAAGCCCUUUUGUCAGGGAAGAAACACCGGCUCUAACACAGUCUGGGAAUGACGGUACCUGAAGAAUAAGCACCGGCUAACUACGUGCCAGCAGCCGCAGUAA